UACGUAGGGGGCGAGCGUUGUCCGGAUUUAUUGGGCGUAAAGAGCGUGUAGGCGGUUCGGUAAGUCUGUCGUGAAAUCCUGAGGCUCAACCUCGGGCGUGCGAUGGAUACUGCCGGGCUAGAGGGUGGUAGAGGCGAGUGGAAUUCCCGGUGUAGCGGUGAAAUGCGCAGAUAUCGGUGGGAACACCAGUAGCGAAGGCGGCUCGCUGGGCCACACCUGACGCUGAGACGCGAAAGCUAGGGGAGCGAACAGG
rnacentral:rRNA from 1 species